AACGAACGCUGGCGGCAUGCCUAACACAUGCAAGUCGAACGAGACCUUCGGGUCUAGUGGCGCACGGGUGCGUAACGCGUGGGAAUCUGCCCUUGGGUUCGGAAUAACAGUUGGAAACGACUGCUAAUACCGGAUGAUGACGUAAGUCCAAAGAUUUAUCGCCCAGGGAUGAGCCCGCGUAGGAUUAGCUAGUUGGUGGGGUAAAGGCCUACCAAGGCGACGAUCCUUAGCUGGUCUGAGAGGAUGAUCAGCCACACUGGGACUGAGACACGGCCCAGACUCCUACGGGAGGCAGCAGUGGGGAAUAUUGGACAAUGGGCGAAAGCCUGAUCCAGCAAUGCCGCGUGAGUGAUGAAGGCCUUAGGGUUGUAAAGCUCUUUUACCCGGGAUGAUAAUGACAGUACCGGGAGAAUAGGCCCCGGCUAACUCCGUG
rnacentral:rRNA from 1 species